AGAGUUUGAUCAUGGCUCAGAUUGAACGCUGGCGGCAGGCCUAACACAUGCAAGUCGAACGGUAACAGGAAACAGCUUGCUGUUUCGCUGACGAGUGGCGGACGGGUGAGUAAUGUCUGGGAAACUGCCUGAUGGAGGGGGAUAACUACUGGAAACGGUAGCUAAUACCGCAUAACGUCGCAAGACCAAAGAGGGGGACCUUCGGGCCUCUUGCCAUCGGAUGUGCCCAGAUGGGAUUAGCUUGUUGGUGGGGUAACGGCUCACCAAGGCGACGAUCCCUAGCUGGUCUGAGAGGAUGACCAGCCACACUGGAACUGAGACACGGUCCAGACUCCUACGGGAGGCAGCAGUGGGGAAUAUUGCACAAUGGGCGCAAGCCUGAUGCAGCCAUGCCGCGUGUAUGAAGAAGGCCUUCGGGUUGUAAAGUACUUUCAGCGGGGAGGAAGGGAGUAAAGUUAAUACCUUUGCUCAUUGACGUUACCCGCAGAAGAAGCACCGGCUAACUCCGUGCCAGCAGCCGCGGUAAUACGGAGGGUGCAAGCGUUAAUCGGAAUUACUGGGCGUAAAGCGCACGCAGGCGGUUUGUUAAGUCAGAUGUGAAAUCCCCGGGCUCAACCUGGGAACUGCAUCUGAUACUGGCAAGCUUGAGUCUCGUAGAGGGGGGUAGAAUUCCAGGUGUAGCGGUGAAAUGCGUAGAGAUCUGGAGGAAUACCGGUGGCGAAGGCGGCCCCCUGGACGAAGACUGACGCUCAGGUGCGAAAGCGUGGGGAGCAAACAGGAUUAGAUACCCUGGUAGUCCACGCCGUAAACGAUGUCGACUUGGAGGUUGUGCCCUUGAGGCGUGGCUUCCGGAGCUAACGCGUUAAGUCGACCGCCUGGGGAGUACGGCCGCAAGGUUAAAACUCAAAUGAAUUGACGGGGGCCCGCACAAGCGGUGGAGCAUGUGGUUUAAUUCGAUGCAACGCGAAGAACCUUACCUGGUCUUGACAUCCACGGAAGUUUUCAGAGAUGGAUUGGUGCCUUCGGGAACUGUGAGACAGGUGCUGCAUGGCUGUCGUCAGCUCGUGUUGUGAAAUGUUGGGUUAAGUCCCGCAACGAGCGCAACCCUUAUCCUUUGUUGCCAGCGGUCCGGCCGGGAACUCAAAGGAGACUGCCAGUGAUAAACUGGAGGAAGGUGGGGAUGACGUCAAGUCAUCAUGGCCCUUACGACCAGGGCUACACACGUGCUACAAUGGCGCAUACAAAGAGAAGCGACCUCGCGAGAGCAAGCGGACCUCAUAAAGUGCGUCGUAGUCCGGAUUGGAGUCUGCAACUCGACUCCAUGAAGUCGGAAUCGCUAGUAAUCGUGGAUCAGAAUGCCACGGUGAAUACGUUCCCGGGCCUUGUACACACCGCCCGUCACACCAUGGGAGUGGGUUGCAAAAGAAGUAGGUAGCUUAACCUUCGGGAGGGCGCUUACCACUUUGUGAUUCAUGACUGGGGUGAAGUCGUAACAAGGUAACCGUAGGGGAAUCUGCGGUUGGAUCACCU
rnacentral:rRNA from 1 species